rnacentral:rRNA from 1 species
UAAAUCAGGUAUCUUAGUGAGUUUCUGGUAAAUUGUAAAGUAUUCAAAACAUUUUUAUAAUAAGUAAGAGUGAUAGAAAUUUAUUAAAUUAAAUCUAAGAAAAGUACCGUAAGGGAACAUACUAAAUUAAAAGCAAGAAAAAAUAGAUCUUUGUACCUUUCGCAUCAUGGUUUAGCUAGAUAUACAUUUUAACUUAAAAUUCUCGAAAUCUGAUGAGUUAUUUUUGUUCUGUGUUUUAGCAUAUAAAGAGUGGUUGUGGCAAAAACUUUCUUAGAAAUGAAAAUGGAAAUGAAAUUUUAUUCGUGUCAGGUGAUAGCUAGUUCUUCUGAAAAGGCAUAUAAGUGCUCUAAAUUAACUUAAUUUAUGAAAUAAAUGUUCGUAAAUAAAUUUAAUUUAAUGAAAUUUUUGAGGAUAAGCUCGAAAAUUAAUAUUAUAUUUGUAUCUGAUUUUCAUUAAAAUUUAGGCUUGAAAAUAGUCAUAAUUUUGAGUAUGUUAUAAUUUAUUGAUAAAUUAGAAAAAUAAUUAAUCUACUUAUAGUAAAUGAAGAAAACUUAAUAACUAAACUAAGUUAAAUUAAUGCUAAAAUGAGUAUUAUAUUAACUUAUUUCUUUCUAACAAAUAUACAAGUUGGAAUUUACAAGUAUUUUUACAAAAAAAAUCAUAGAAAGGAACUCGGCAAAUUUAUAUUCUGCCUGUUUAGCAAAAACAUGGCUCCUUGAAACUAAAUAAUAAGGAGUCGGACCUGCCCAGUGAAUUUUUUCAACGGCCGCGGUACUCUGACCGUGCAAAGGUAGCAUAAUCAUUUGCCUUAUAAUUGAAGGCUAGUAUGAAUGGUUUGACAAGAAUAUAGCUGUCUCUUUAUGAUUUAGUAGAACUUUAUUUACAGAUGAAGAAGUCUGUAUUAAAUUAAAAGACAAGAAGACCCUAUCGAGCUUGUAAAAAAUUUAAUAGAAUUUAAAUUAAUACAGUUAAAAAAUUAUUAUUAUACAUUUUGGUUGGGGCGACUGAGGAACAUAUAAAGCUUCCUUUAGAAAUUUAUUUGCAAUUCAAACUAGAGUUGAUCCAAAACAUUUUGAUUAAAGGAAUUAGUUACCGUAGGGAUAACAGCAUUAUCUUUUUUAAGAGCUCAUAUCGAAAAAAAGGUUUGUGACCUCGAUGUUGGACCAGAAUAUCCUAAAGAUGCAGCAGUCUUUAAGGGUUGGUCUGUUCGACCAUUAAAAUUCUACGUGAUCUGAGUUCAGACCGGCGUGAGCCAGGUCAGUUUCUAUCUUUA